AAAAGAAAUGUCACAAUUGCUACUCUAACAACGGCACUGACCUUUCCAUAGUAAUUAGUAAGUGCUAUUUGUUGGGGUAGUUUGAAGUGA
rnacentral:pre_miRNA from 1 species